rnacentral:rRNA from 1 species
UACGGGGGGGCAAGCGUUGUUCGGAAUUACUGGGCGUAAAGGGCUCGUAGGCGGCCAACUAAGUCAGACGUGAAAUCCCUCGGCUUAACCGGGGAACUGCGUCUGAUACUGGAUGGCUUGAGUUUGGGAGAGGGAUGCGGAAUUCCAGGUGUAGCGGAUGAAAUGCGUAGAUAUCUGGAGGAACACCGGUGGCGAAGGCGGCAUCCUGGACCAACACUGACGCUGAGUGAAGCG